rnacentral:rRNA from 1 species
AGUGAACGCUGGCGGUAGGCCUAACACAUGCAAGUCGAACGGCAGCACAGUAAGAGCUUGCUCUUACGGGUGGCGAGUGGCGGACGGGUGAGGAAUACAUCGGAAUCUACUUUUUCGUGGGGGGUAACGUAGGGAAACUUACGCUAAUACCGCAUACGACCUACGGGUGAAAGCAGGGGAUCUUCGGACCUUGCGCGAUUGAAUGAGCCGAUGUCGGAUUAGCUAGUUGGCGGGGUAAAGGCCCACCAAGGCGACGAUCCGUAGCUGGUCUGAGAGGAUGAUCAGCCACACUGGAACUGAGACACGGCCCAGACUCCUACGGGAGGCAGCAGUGGGGAAUAUUGGACAAUGGGCGCAAGCCUGAUCCAGCCAUACCGCGUGGGUGAAGAAGGCCUUCGGGUUGUAAAGCCCUUUUGUUGGGAAAGAAAAGCAGCAGGUUAAUACCCCGCUGUUCUGACGGUACCCAAAGAAUAAGCACCGGCUAACUUCGUG